rnacentral:rRNA from 1 species
UACGUAGGGGGCAAGCGUUGUCCGGAAUCAUUGGGCGUAAAGAGCGUGUAGGCGGCCAUUUAAGUCCUGCGUGAAAUCCUGCGACUCAACCGCAGGCGGUCGUGGGAAACUGGGUGGCUAGAGUGCGGGAGAGGAGAGUGGAAUUCCUGGUGUAGCGGUGAAAUGCGCAGAUAUCAGGAAGAACACCGGUGGCGAAGGCGGCCUGCUGGGCAGUUGCUGACACUGAGGCGCGACAGCGUGGGGAGCAAACAGG